rfam:Triticum aestivum genome assembly, contig: Triticum_aestivum_CS42_TGACv1_scaffold_527214_6DL
UUUAUACUCUCCCUCCGUUCGGAAUUACUUGUCUCAGAAAUGGAUGUAUCUAAACGUUAAUUAGAUACAUCCAUUUCUGAGACAAGUAAUUCCGAACGGAGGGGGUAUGUG